CUUUAUCGCAAUGGGUAGCGCGUUGGACUUCGAAUCCAAAGGUCGUGGGUUCGAAUCCCACAUUGA